UACAGAGGGUGCGAGCGUUAAUCGGAAUUACUGGGCGUAAAGCGCACGUAGUCGGCUUUGCAAGUCGGGUGUGAAAUCCCCGGGCUCAACCUGGGAACUGCAUCCGAGACUGCAUUGCUAGAGUAUGGGAGAGGGAAGCGGAAUUUCUGGUGUAGCAGUGAAAUGCGUAGAUAUCGUGAGGAAGACCAGUUGCGAAGGCGGAUCUCUGGGCAGUUCCUGACACUGAGGCACGAAGGCCAGGGGAGCAAACGGG
rnacentral:rRNA from 1 species